GACGUCGAGCAUUGCCAAAAUGGAAGUGCUCUUUGAAGAACUGAACGUCUAAUUCUUCUUCAGUCAGAUGAAGCUAACGGAUUCGGAAAUCGUCGAAGAAGCAGAGGACAUCACAGCUGAAAAAAAAAACGGAAGCCCUAAUAAGAGGUCCAAGAGAAAUUUAUUCGGGUUCAUGUUCGGGUCAACUGAUACCAUACCACGUACUAAAUCGUUAAUGAUUUUCAGAUUUGGUGAGGAACAUCCAAUCUGUCGAUCGCGGUCGCUAACUAAUUGG